rnacentral:rRNA from 1 species
CAGUCGCCACGGUAAUACGGAGGAUCCAAGCGUUAUCCGGAAUCAUUGGGUUUAAAGGGUCCGUAGGCGGUCUUGUAAGUCAGUGGUGAAAGCCCAUCGCUCAACGGUGGAACGGCCAUUGAUACUGCAGGACUUGAAUUAUUGGGAAGUAACUAGAAUAUGUAGUGUAGCGGUGAAAUGCUUAGAGAUUACAUGGAAUACCAAUUGCGAAGGCAGGUUACUACCAAUUGAUUGACGCUGAUGGACGAAAGCGUGGGUAGCGAACAGGAUUAGAUACCCCGGUAGUCCCUGUCUCUUAUAU